rnacentral:rRNA from 1 species
UACAGAGGGUGCAAGCGUUGUUCGGAAUUACUGGGCGUAAAGCGCGUGUAGGCGGCGGCGUAAGUCGGAUGUGAAAUCCCUUGGCUUAACCAAGGAAGUGCAUCCGAUACUGCGUCGCUUGAGUGCCGGAGGGGAUGGUGGAAUUCCCGGUGUAGAGGUGAAAUUCGUAGAUAUCGGGAGGAACACCUGUGGCGAAGGCGGCCAUCUGGACGGUAACUGACGCUGAGACGCGAAAGCGUGGGUAGCAAACAGG